rnacentral:piRNA from 1 species
UAAGAGCCGCUUCCCCAACAAAGGAGCUGUUU